rnacentral:rRNA from 1 species
UACAGGAGGUGCGAGCGUUGUUCGGAAUUAUUGGGCGUAAAGGGCGCGUAGGCGGUGCGGUAAGUCACCUGUGAAAUCUCCUGGCUCAACUGGGAGCUUGCAGGCGAAACUGCCGGGCUUGAGUGUGGGAGAGGUGAGUGGAAUUCCUGGUGUAGCGGUGAAAUGCGUAGAUAUCAGGAGGAACACCUGUGGCGAAAGCGGCUCACUGGACCAUAACUGACGCUGAUGCACGAAAGCUAGGGGAGCAAACAGG